CCAGCUGGUUUUUCACCUCUCAUCUUCAUAAUCAACUAUAUGAUCCAAACCAUACUUCAGUAAAGAUCUGUUAAAUCAGUCUCAUGUUCAGUGUUAUUUAUAACGUGUAGCUUUUCAAUUCCCCAAAUCUUAAUAUUCACUGAACAUGGACUGUGGUAUAAUAAUAUUCUCUCUUUUUCUGGUGGCUGCUUCAGGACAGCGGCUACAACAGGACCAGAUAUCAAAGACUAUGAGAGAGAAACAGAGUGUCUCCUUCAGCUGCAAAGUUAUUGGUCGGUGUUGGGGUAACCUGGUCCACUGGUACCAGAAGAGAGAGGGUGAACCCUUUACUUGGAUUCUAUACUUUGAUUUUGAUGACAAUUCUAUCAGUCGUGAUUCCACUCAUCCUCAGAGUGCAGAUUUCACUGUUGGGAGGGAGUCUGACACCAGUGAGCUGAAGAUCCAGUCAGUUAAAGUGUCCCAUUCUGCCGCCUACUACUGUGCCUGCUGGGACUCGUCAACCCACAGUGAGAACUGAUCCACACAGCCUGUACAAAGCCUCUGUGGUUUAAAUCAAGCUUUGAAUUCAUAAAAAGGUUUCUAU